rnacentral:lncRNA from 1 species
CUCUUCCCGUGUGGAACCCAGGGUUCAAAUGGCUGAGCGGGAAGCGCUCUAGUAGGGACUCUGGCAACUCUGUUUUCUCCUUCUCUUCCUUUUCACCCAAUAAUACCCUGUCUUACUCAUUAUUUCAAAUUGUCUAAGAGCCUGAAUUUUCGUGGCUCUAGGGCAAAGAACCCCGUCUUUAACUGAACUAAGGAAAAGUCCUACAACAUUUUUGGCACGCAACGUGGGAGCUCGAGAAGCGAAAAUGUUUUACUAAGCCAGACCCCCUGUCGGCCCUCCCGCGCACUCCUUUCCCCCAGCAAACUGUCACCAGUCCAUGUUAUAUCACUGCCCAUAUGCUGGACACUGGAGGUCACAAAAUCUCCUAAAACUUUUGGCAACAAGAAACCUAGAGUUUGUUUGUAACAUUCGGCAAUUUGUUUACCUUACAAUUAUGGUACACUUCACUGCCUUGAUGAUCGAUGUAUUGCUAAUGAGAAUGAAAGAAGAAAAGGAAAAUGAGCCACUUUAAGAGGCAAAAUGCUACAUAUUCAGUUUCGAGAGCACAGAAUGACUUGACAGAAUGAUAGAAGAACUAAUCUAUGUCUCCUCAUUUAAGGAAUACAUCUACUGAAGCAGUCUACUCCUGCCACCAAAGUAUAAAAGCUGGACAAACAACAUAACGGAAAUCAUUUGAAGGCAUUUGAAAGUGACCACCAUUCAUAGUUCUUUAAGGGUUAUAAACCCUGAGAGAUAAAAGGAAUCAAUAGAACCCAUACUUAUGGCAACAUUUCUCCUUUAGAGUAUUUUCAGCUUACUGUGUGGAAUAGAUUCAGAGAAGAAAGCCAAAGUCUCCCUGGGCUGAGGAAACAUUGGAUUUUCAGUACAGUCACAGCAGCUGUGAUUUCAGGGGACAAAAAUCUCAAGGAAUGUAUAUAACUGAACCCCAAAAUCUGUAUUCCAUUUUUUUUUAGACUUUUUCAACUCUGAAGCUGUACAGGGAAAGCUCUAAGAAGCCCAACCAAAAGCAGCAGUUUAGACUGUGUGAAAGCACUGAACACGUUUCAAUAGUUAACUGAAUGAGUAGGCUUGGCAAAUAUUCUAUGCUCUCAGCUAUAUCCUAGAAGUAUGGGACUAUAUCCUAGAAGUAUAUAGGGUAUAUAGAAGUAUCCUAGAAGUAUAUAUGGGACUAUAUCCUUAGAAGUAUGAUCCAUACCCUUGAAGUAAGAGAAAAACUGAAAAAAACAACAAGAACCAAUUUUGAACUGAAAAUAUUUCAGAAAAAAAUUGCAUCUGCACUUAACAUGUACAGAUUAUUUUUCUGGUCAUUAUUCCAUAAACAAUACAGUGUAACAACUAUUACAUAGCAUGCACAUUUUAUUAGGUAUAAUAGGUAAUCUAUAUACAUAUAUGCCCUGGAAUCUACUUUUUCUAAUACUAAUAUAGCCACUCAAGCUACCUUAAGAUUAGUUUUAGAAUAGUACAUUCUAAUAGUACAUUCUUUUUCAUCCUUUUUUUUUUUUAACAUAUAGUUGUCCCUCCAGUAUCCGUGGAUUAUUGGUUUUAGGUCAUAUAUAUUAUAUAUAUAUACAUAUAUAUAUAAAUAAUAUGUAUUUUAUAGAUAUAUAAUAUAUAUGUGUAUUGUCAGGGAUAAUAUGAGUCAUUUCAUAAUGAUAAAUCAAUCAAUCUUUAGUUGCCUGAUAGAAGAGCUCCAAAAUAAAUGAAGCAAAAACUAAUAGAACUGCAAGAAAAUAUAGACAAAUCAACAAGUAUAUUCAAAGAGCUUAGCACCACUCUUAAUAGCUGAUAGAACAAGUAGACACAAAUUAGUAAUUAUGCAGAAGACAUGAACAAUAUAGUCCACCAACUCGAUCUAAAUAACAUUAAUCGAACACUCCACUGAGGAGAGUAGAAAUUCUUUUAAGGUACACACACAAAGAAAUCAGCAAGAUGAAACAUCUUCUGGGACAAACAAAAAUAAAACUCAUCCAUUUUUUGAGAGUCCAAAGCAGGAGGUUUUCUUGAGGCCAGAGGUUUGAGAACAGCUUGAGCAACAUUGCAAGACCUUGUCUCUACAAAAAAAUUAAAAGAAAAAAAUUUUCCAGGUGUGGUGGUGUGUGCCUAUAGUCCUAGCUACAUGGGAAGCUCAAUCAGGGGUGGUUUGAGCCCAGGAGUUAAAGAUUGCAGUGAGCUGUUUUCAUGCCACAGCAUUCAAGCCUGAAUGACAGAGCAAGAAUCUGUCUUUAAAAACAAAACAAAACAAAAUACAAAAAAAAUUCAAUGAAUUCAAAUGCAUAUCAGUCCUCCAAUGCUUUGUUACUCUUCUUAUCACAAUGGAACUAAAUUGGAAAUAAAAAAUGGAAUGUUCUCUUGAAAAAAAACCUUAAAAUAUUUGUAAACUAUAGAACAGAAUUCCAAAUAAGCCAUUGGUUAAAAAUUAAAUCAACAGAUUAAAAAAAAAUGAAAAAAAAGAAGAAAAAAUAUCUUAUUAUUUUCUGAUAUCGAAGAGUUCUUUCAGCAUUAUAGAAUUGAAAGUAAUAAAUUUAGGCCGAGUAUGUCAAUUUGAUCACUUUUUACAACACUGUAUUUUGUACAUAUCAUUUUGUAACCAAGUUACUCAAUAAAGAAAUGAGCAAGGUAGUUGUGUUAAUCACAGUGUGUGAACUCCAAAAGUGUCCAAUAAAAAUGUCUUAAUUUUUAUUUGCAAAUGCUUUUUCUCCUGUAAGUAGUGGAGACUAUUUUACCUCCUCUUAAGUCUAAGCUGAUUUAGUGACUUGUUUGCCCAAUAGAAGGGGAAAGAAUCAGCACAAUGCCAUUUCCAGAUCAAGCUUUAAGAAAUCUAUCAGUUACCCUAUUACACUCUCAGAGCCCUGAGCCACCAUGCUCUGAUGAAGUCCAACCUAAAGCCGUGUAAAGAUGCAGUGUAGAAGGGAAUCAAGGCAGCUUGGUCAAAAACCCCAGCCAAACACUAGCUCAGUACAGAUGCAAGUGACCCAGGUGAAAUGAGACCAGCUGAACAACUGUCCAGUCAACCCACUGUAUUAUAAGAAAUAAGUUGUUAAUUCUUUAAAUUUUGGACUGUUUUGAUAUACAACAACAGUAAAUGAUACACUAUAAUUUCAAUUAUAGUUCAGGGAAACAAACUAUGGAAAAUACAUGAUUGAGUGAGAAAUUGUUUUAUGGACAUCUUAUUUUAAUGUUACAACAAAAUUCUAGAAAAUAAUAACAUGCUCAAUAUAUACAACAAUACAGACAUUAGUAUGACAUGUAUUGUUUAUUGUAUGUAAUGUAGAUUGAUGAUUAUGUUUUAUCAUUCUAAUCAAGUCACUUAUCUGUAAAAUUGAAAACUCCAUUAUUUUCAUAAUGUUAUAUUGAUAAUUUUUUUUUUUUUUUUUGGAAAACUCAUAAAGUCUUCUUUGUUGAUUGAUAUUGUUUGGCUGUGUCCCCACCCAAAUCUCAUCCUGAACUCCCAUGUGCUGUGGGAGGGACCUGGUGGGAGGUAAUUGAAUCAUGGAGAUGGGUCUUUCUUAUGCUGUUCUUGUGAUGGUGAAUAAGUCUCAUGAAAUCUGAUGGUUUUAAAAAUGAGAGUUUCCUGCACAAGCCCACUCUCUUUACCUGCUGCUAUCCAUGUAAGAAGUGAAAUGCUUCUCCUUGCCUACUGCCAUGAUUAUGAGGCCUCCCCAGCCACAUGGAUCUGUAAGUCCAUUAGACCUCUUUCUUUUGUAAAUUGCCCAGUCUUGGGUAUGUCUUUAUCAGCAGCAUGAAAACAGACUAAUACAGUAAAUGAGUACCAGUAGAGUAGGGAGCUGCUGAAGAGAUAUCUGAAAAUGUGGAAGCAACUUUGAAACUGGGUAACAGGCAGGGGUUGGAACAGUUUGGAGGGCUCAGAAAAAGAAAGGAAAAUGUGGGAAAGUUUGGAACUUCCUAGAGACUUGUUUAAUGGCUUUGCUCAAAAUGCUGAUAGUGAUAUGGACAACGAAAUCCAGGUUGAGGUGGUCUCAGAUGGAGAUGAGGUACUUGUUGGGAACUGGAGCAAAGAUGACUCUUGUUAUGUUUUAGCAAAGAGACUGGCGCAGUAUUUUGCCCCUGCCCUAGAGAUUUGUGGAACUUUGAACUUGAGAGAGAAGAUUUAGGGUAUGUGCUGGAAGAAAUUUCUAAGCAGCAAAGCAUUCAAGAGGUGACUUGGGUACUGUUAAAAGCAUUCAGUUUUAUACGGGAAGUGGAGUACAAACAUUUGGAAAAUUUGCAGCCUGACAAUGCGAUAAAAAAGUAAAUCCCAUUUUCUGAGGAGAAAUUCAAGCUGGCUGCAGAAAUUUGCAUAAGCAAUGAUAAGCCAAAUGUUAAUCCCCAAAAGAAGUGGGGGAAAUGUCUCCAGGGCAUGUCACAGGCCUUCACAGCGGCCCCUCCCAUCACAGGCCCAGAGUUCUAGGAGAAAAAAGUGGUUUUGUGGGCUGGGUCCAGGGUCCAUGUGCUAUGUGUAGCCUAGAGACUUGGUGCCUUGCAUCCCGGCCACUCCAGCCAUGGCUGAAAUGGGCCAACAUAGCACUUAAGCCAUGGCUUCAGAGGGUGCAAGCCCCAAGCCUUGGCAGCUUCUACGUGGGUGCACAGAAGUCAAAAAUUGAGGUUUGGGAACUUCUGCCUAGAUUAUAGAAGAUAUAUGGAAAUGCCUGGAUGCCCAGGCAGAAGUUUGCUGUAGGGGCAGGGUCCUCAUGGAGAAUCUCUGCUAGGGAAGUGCAGAGGGGAAAUGUGGGGUUGGAGCCCCCAAACAGAAUCACUAUUGGGGCACUGACUAGUGGAACUGUGAGAAGAGGACCACCAUCCUCCAGACCCCAGAAUGAUAGAUCCACCAACAGCUUGCACCGUGCACCUGAAAAAGCCACAGACACUCAAAGCCCACUCAUGAAAGCAGCCAGGAGGGAGGCUGGACCCUGCAAAGCCAAAGAGUCAGAGCGGCCCAAGACCAUGGGAAUCCACCUCUUGCAUCAGCGUGACCUGGAUGUGAGACAUGGAGUCAAAAAAUAUCAUUUUGGAACUUUAAGAUUUGACUGUCCUGCUAGAUUUCAGACUUGCAUGGGUCUUGUAGCCCCUUUGUUUUGGCCAGUUUCUCCCAUUUGGAAUUACUGUGUUUACCCAGUUCCUGUACCCUCAUAGUAUCUAGGAAGUAACUAGUUUGCUUUUGAUUUUACAGGUUCAUAGGCAUAAUGGACUUUCCUUGUCUCAGAUGAGACUUUGGACUGUGGACUUUUGAGUUAAUGCUGAAAUGAGUUAAGACUUUAGGGGACUGUUGGAAAGGCAUGAUUGGUUUUGAAAUGUAAGGACAUGAGAUUUGGGAGGGUCCAGGGGAGGAAUGAUAUGGUUUGGCUGUGUCCCCACCUAAAUCUCACCCUGAAUUCUCUCAUGUUGUGGGAGGGACCUGGUGGGAGGUAAUUGAAUCAUGGGAGGGAUUCUUUCCCAUGCUGUUCUCAUGAUAGUGAAUAAGUCUCCUGGGAUCUGAAGGUUUUAAAAACAAGAGUUUCCUGUACAAGCUCUCUCUCUUUGCCUGCUGCCAUCCAUGUAAGACAUGACUUGCUCCUCCUUGCUUUCCACCAUGAUUGUGAGGCCUCCCCAGCCAUGUGGAGCUGUAAGUCCAUUAAACCUUUUUCUUUUGUAAAUUGCCCAGUCUCGGGUAUGUCUUUAUCAGCAGUGUGAAAACAGACUAAUACAUUUGUUAAAUUUCAUUUCCCAUAAGCAUAGAUAAUUUUAGAAACUUACUUGAGUAUGGCAUUUGUGUUAGUAGUCAACAAAGAUUAAACCUAGACAAUCAUUAGACGCAUGGAUACCUAGGAGAGAAACUCUGCUGAACAAAGAAGAUAAACAAUAGACACACAAACAUGGUCAAUCAUAAUCUGAUUCCAGCAUACUUUUUCAUGUUUUUACAAACUUAUUGUUUGGUUUAAAUUUAUGCACACAGAGAAAUUAUUGCAAAUAUUUGAAUAAAUCAUGCUGCCUCAACCUGUAUUUCUUAAUAUAUGUACUGCUGCUUUCCUUUACAAGGCUUACUUUUACAGGCAUAGCUGAAAUACCCCUAGUUCAAAAAAGCCUUCAACUCUCCUUUCUCAAAAACAGAAUUGGUAAUUUUCCCCAUUUUGUCACAGCUGUAAAUUUUACAUGUUUUAAUCCCUUACAUGUUAUGAAAAUAUUUUGCAUUUCACAAUCUGUUAUUGGAGUAAGUUUUUUGAGGGUAGGAUCCAUGAUAUGUUUAUUAAUGCCUAUUACUAGGGCCAGAGUAUAUUAGGUAACCAGUAGAAAUAUGAUGAAUGAAUUAAAUGAUAGCAGAAAACCCAUACAGCUAAAUAAUUAACUACUGAAAUGAAAUACAUUCAAGUAAUACAUAUAAUUUUGGUAGAAGUUG